AGAGUUUGAUCAUGGCUCAGAGCGAACGCUGGCGGCAGGCUUAACACAUGCAAGUCGAGCGGGCGUAGCAAUACGUCAGCGGCAGACGGGUGAGUAACGCGUGGGAACGUACCUUUUGGUUCGGAACAACACAGGGAAACUUGUGCUAAUACCGGAUAAGCCCUUACGGGGAAAGAUUUAUCGCCGAAAGAUCGGCCCGCGUCUGAUUAGCUAGUUGGUAGGGUAAUGGCCUACCAAGGCGACGAUCAGUAGCUGGUCUGAGAGGAUGAUCAGCCACAUUGGGACUGAGACACGGCCCAAACUCCUACGGGAGGCAGCAGUGGGGAAUAUUGGACAAUGGGGGCAACCCUGAUCCAGCCAUGCCGCGUGAGUGAUGAAGGCCCUAGGGUAGUAAAGCUCUUUUGUGCGGGAAGAUAAUGACGGUACCGCAAGAAUAAGCCC
rnacentral:rRNA from 1 species